GCGCUCACUUCCACAGCACAUAUACUAAAAUUAGAAUGAUACAGAGUAGAUUAGCAUGGCCCCUGCGCAGAUUCUUCCUCCCUUUCUGUGGGUUGCCUUUUCACU